UCUAAUUUCUCAAUAAGCAGUCUACAACAGACUUGGAGAGGACAUGGAGAAUUCCAGGAGUGGCCAGGAGAACAAUGGUGGAGCCAGGUAAGUGAAGGUGAUCGCCAGCGGAGGGCAGGUGACAGCAGGAGGGUUUCCAGGAAGAGGACCUUGGAAAAGACGUCAAUGCACAACAAGGGGAAACCAAGAAGCAAGGGACUCAAAGCACAAGGAAAGUCUAAGUUAGGCUUUCUUAAAGACUAGACUUGGAGAGGAGGGC